UCAGACUUGAGGAAAAGAACGUGGUCACCGCCAUGUUUCCAUUUGCUCGUCUAGGCUCAAUCCGCACAAGGGGGCGCUCUAUAACCGCUCCACAUCAAACAGGCUUGAAGGGAGCCAAGGGGCCCGGCAGCCACCUUCCUGUAAGACGAAUUCAACUUUGACUUCCACCCACACGCUGAAAUAACAUUCUGUAAGAUACACCGGAGCCUGCACCAAGAUAACCUGAAAAAAGUCCUUGUGUUUUCAAAGAAAAAGAGCAGGUAAAAUUACCGUGUCUUGUCAUGCUGAUUAAUGUCCAUCAUCUGAUGAGUUGGAAAGGAAGGGAUCUGACUGGAUAGGUCAGGGGGAGGGAGGGAUCUGACUUGAUAGGUCAGAGGGAGGGAGGGAUCUGACUGGAUAGGUCAGGGGGAGGGAGGGAUCUGACUGGAUAGGUCAGGGGGAGGGAGGGAUCUGACUGGAUAGGUCAGGGGGAGGGAGGGAUCUGACUGGAUAGGUCAGGGGGAGGGAGGGAUCUGACUGGAUAGGUCAGGGGGAGGGAGGGAUCUGACUGGAUAGGUCAGGGGGAGGGAGGGAUCUGACUGGAUAGGUCAGGGGGAGGGAGGGAUCUGACUGGAUAGGUCAGGGGGAGGGAGGGAUCUGACUGGAUAGGUCAGGGGGAGGGAGGGAUCUGACUGGAUAGGUCAGGGGGAGGGAGGGAUCUGACUGGAUAGGUCAGGGGGAGGGAGGGAUCUGACUGGAUAGGUCAGGGGGAGGGAGGGAUCUGACUGGAUAGGUCAGGGGGGAGGGAGGUGAAACCGUAAGCAAAGGUCCACAAAGGGGUGAGGGGGAGGGAUGAGCAGCGUGAAAGGGCGGGCAGGGCCUCAUGCAGGCCCCUCCCCUUCACCUUUGAC